CAGCAGUAGCCGCGGUAAUACGAAGGGUGCAAGCGUUACUCGGAAUUACUGGGCGUAAAGCGUGCGUAGGUGGUGGUUUAAGUCCGUUGUGAAAGCCCUGGGCUCAACCUGGGAAUUGCAGUGGAUACUGGGUCACUAGAGUGUGGUAGAGGAUAGUGGAAUUUCCGGUGUAGCAGUGAAAUGCGUAGAGAUCGGAAGGAACAUCUGUGGCGAAGGCGACUAUCUGGGCCAACACUGACACUGAGGCACGAAAGCGUGGGGAGCAAACAGGAUUAGAUACCCGUGUAGUCCCUGUCUCUUAUAC
rnacentral:rRNA from 1 species